CGCGUUAUUGAGUUCAUUGUCUAAUAGAACUGUGGACAUUAGGCACGUGUAUUCGUGUUAACGACGCGUUUUUCAGCGACCCGAUUCUCCCAAGGCUUCGAGAUAACGCAACGUUCCUCAGUAUGUUAAUAUGCAUAAAGUUAUGCGUUUCAUUCUUUUAUCUUGCGCUUCUGCUCUUAUCUGCUUACGUUACGUAUAUAAGCGCACAAUGCAACGCACAGAAACGAUUUGUAGAAGAGAAAGAGUUUGUGUUGGAAAUGAAAGGAAAUCGUUGAAAUGAAUAAAAUUUAUUCUGUUGACGCGUUCUAUGACCAGAGGCGGGCGAGCCACGACUCCGUGUGAGAAAAGUCUGUUUUAAUCAAGAAGUGAUACCAUAAGAUGAAUUAUGCAAUGAAUUACAUAAACCGUCGGUAUCGAGAUAAAUCGGUAAAUAGUGAGGCCUAUUCUAAAUGAAGAGAUUACGUUCUCAGAGCUUAGAAAUAGUAGCUUUGCCGCCGCUGCCGCCGCUUUAUAUUUUUAAAACUCACGCUAUUACGCAAACGCCUUUCCGUCGUUCAUCUCUCUCUCGUAACGAUUAUCGCACUUGGCUGGUAUGCGAGGCGCAUCGCCGACUGGUUAAAGCAAGGAUCGGUGCGUAUCCGCGACUUCAGCUUCACGUGAUUCUCGACAUCAUCCAGUUAUUAACGCUAGAACGGUUCACUCUCGGUUCGUUCCUACGCGAGAGCGAACAGAAAGCGAGAUCGACGCGAGGCUGCCGUCCCACUAACCGAUUGCGAGGCAGAUCCGUAACGAAAUGAAAA